rnacentral:rRNA from 1 species
UACGUAGGGGGCAAGCGUUGUCCGGAUUUAUUAGGCGUAAAGAGCGUGUAGGCGGCUUUGCAAGUCCGUUGUGAAAACUCGAGGCUCAACCUCGAGACGCCGGUGGAAACUGCAAAGCUAGAGUCCGGAAGAGGAGAGUGGAAUUCCUGGUGUAGCGGUGAAAUGCGCAGAUAUCAGGAAGAACACCAAUGGCGAAAGCAGCUCUCUGGGACGGUACUGACGCUGAGACGCGAAAGCGUGGGGAGCGAACAGG